rfam:Salmo salar isolate Sally breed double haploid chromosome ssa13, whole genome shotgun sequence.
UUCAUUCACUACUGUAAGUCGCUCUGGAUAAGAGCGUCUGCUAAAUGUGUAAAA